UACGAAGGGGGCUAGCGUUGUUCGGAAUUACUGGGCGUAAAGGGCGCGUAGGCGGUCCCUCAAGUCAGGCGUGAAAGCCCCGGGCUCAACCUGGGAACCGCGCUUGAGACUGAUGGGCUAGAGUUCGGGAGAGGAUGGUGGAAUUCCCAGUGUAGAGGUGAAAUUCGUAGAUAUUGGGAAGAACACCGAUGGCGAAGGCAGCCAUCUGGACCGACACUGACGCUGAGGCGCGAAAAGCGUGGGGGAGCAAAACAGGAUUAGAUACCCCGCGUAGUCC
rnacentral:rRNA from 1 species